AAGUCGUAACAAGGUCUCCGUUGGUGAACCAGCGGAGGGAUCAUUAGAGAGUGCCCUACUCCCAAAACCCACUGUGAACUUACCUGUACGUUGCCUCGGCGGGGGGGAGGGGCUGGCCACUGGCCACCCCCCCCCUUCCCGCCAGGCGGCCCACCAAACACUGUUUCGCCCUGAAUCUCUGAUAAACUAUACAAACAAGUUAAAACUUUCAACAACGGAUCUCUUGGCUCUG
rnacentral:misc_RNA from 1 species